rnacentral:guide_RNA from 1 species
AAUAAAUCCGGAGGGGCAAUAUGUCCCGUAGCUCGUAU